rnacentral:rRNA from 1 species
UUCUAGCGAGCCCACCUCCCACCCGUGUUUACUGUACCUUAGUUGCUUCGGCGGGCCCGCCAUUCAUGGCCGCCGGGGGCUCUCAGCCCCGGGCCCGCGCCCGCCGGAGACACCACGAACUCUGUCUGAUCUAGUGAAGUCUGAGUUGAUUGUAUCGCAAUCAGUUAAAACUUUCAACAAUGGAUCUCUUGGUUCCGGCAUCGAUGAAGAACGCAGCGAAAUGCGAUAACUAGUGUGAAUUGCAGAAUUCCGUGAAUCAUCGAGUCUUUGAACGCACAUUGCGCCCCCUGGUAUUCCGGGGGGCAUGCCUGUCCGAGCGUCAUUGCUGCCCAUCAAGCACGGCUUGUGUGUUGGGUCGUCGUCCCCUCUCCGGGGGGGACGGGCCCCAAAGGCAGCGGCGGCACCGCGUCCGAUCCUCGAGCGUAUGGGGCUUUGUCACCCGCUCUGUAGGCCCGGCCGGCGCUUGCCGAACGCAAAUCAAUCUUUUUCCAGGUUGACCUCGGAUCAGGUAGGGAUACCCGCUGAACUUAAGCAUAUCAAUAA